rnacentral:rRNA from 1 species
CUGGCUCAGAACGAACGCUGGCGGCAGGCCUAACGCAUGCAAGUCGAGCGCGCCCUUCGGGGUGAGCGGCGGACGGGUUAGUAACGCGUGGGAACGUACCCUUUGGUAGGGAAUAGCCACUGGAAACGGUGAGUAAUACCCUAUGAGCCCUUCGGGGGAAAGAUUUAUCGCCAAAGGAUCGGCCCGCGUUAGAUUAGGUAGUUGGUGGGGUAAUGGCCUACCAAGCCUACGAUCUAUAGCUGGUUUUAGAGGAUGAUCAGCAACACUGGGACUGAGACACGGCCCAGACUCCUACGGGAGGCAGCAGUGGGGAAUCUUGGACAAUGGGGGCAACCCUGAAUCCAGCCAUGCCGCGUGAGUGAAGAAGGCCUUAGGGUCGUAAAGCUCUUUCGCCUGUGAAGAUAAUGACGGUAGCAGGUAAAGAAACCCCGGCUAACUCCGUGCCAGCAGCGGC